rnacentral:rRNA from 1 species
CGUAAUAGCUCACUGGUCGAGUGACCCUGCGCCGAAAAUUUAACGGGGCUAAAUCAUACACCGAAGCUUGGGAUACGUUUUAAACGUGUGGUAGGAGAGCGUUCUAUGCGGGGAGAAGUCUGAGCGGAAGCGCAGGUGGACUGCAUAGAAGUGAGAAUGCCGGAAUGAGUAGCGCGAAAUAUGUGAGAAUCAUAUUGGCCGAAAGUCUAAGGUUUUUGGAGGAAGGUUCGUCCGCUCCAAGUAAGUCGGGAGCUAAGGCGAGGCCGAAAGGCGUAGUCGAUGCACAUACGGUAGAUAUUCCGUAACCGCCGAAGGAUUAAAGCAAAGGGACACCUGCGAAGCGUGUAACCCGGGCGAUGGUUGCCCCGGGCGUAAGGGACCGAAAUUUAGUAGGGAAGUACAUGUAGAGCAGGGCGAGAAAAGCUUUGUGUAUAUCCAAGGCGCCCGUACCGCAAACCGACACAGGUAGAUAGGAAGAGAAUUCUAAGGCCAACGGGAGAAGGGUAGUUAAGGAACUCGGCAAAUUGGUCCCGUAACUUAGGGAAAAGGGACGCUCCAGAGAUGGAGCCGCAGUGAAUAGGCCCAGGCGACUGUUUAGCAAAAACACAGGUCUCUGCCAAAUCGAAAGAUGAAGUAUAGGGGCUGACACCUGCCCGGUGCUGGAAGGUUAAGAGGAGAUGUGCAAGCAUUGAAUUGAAGCCCCAGUAAACGGCGGCCGUAACUAUAACGGUCCUAAGGUAGCGAAAUUCCUUGUCGGGUAAGUUCCGACCCGCACGAAUGGUGUAACGAUCUGGGCACUGUCUCAACUACCCGCCCGGCGAAAUUGUAGUACCGGUGAAGAUGCCGGUUACCCGCGACAAGACGGAAAGACCCCAUGGAGCUUUACUGUAGCUUGAUAUUGGGUUUCGGUAAUUUAUGUACAGGAUAGGCGGGAGACUAGGAAGCCAGUACGCCAGUAUUGGUGGAGUCGUCCUUGGGAUACCGCUCUUAAGUUGCUGGAAUUCUAACCUGCGGCCGUGAAUCCGGCCGGGGGACAUUGUCAGGUGGGCAGUUUGACUGGGGCGGUCGCCUCCAAAAGAGUAACGGAGGCGCUCAAAGGUUCGCUCAGCACGGACGGAAACCGUGCUUUUGAGUGUAAACGCAGAAGCGAGCCUGACUGCGAGGGUGACGGCCCGAGCAGAAACGAAAGUUGGAGUUAGUGAUCCGGCGGUAUGUGAAUGGAAAUGCCGUCGCUCAACGGAUAAAAGCUACCCUGGGGAUAACAGGCUGAUCUCCCCCAAGAGUCCACAUCGACGGGGAGGUUUGGCACCUCGAUGUCGGCUCAUCGCAUCCUGGGGCUGUAUUCGGUCCCAAGGGUUUGGCUGUUCGCCAAUUAAAGCGGUACGCGAGCUGGGUUCAGAACGUCGUGAGACAGUUCGGUCCCUAUCUGUCGUGGGCGCAGGAUAUUUGAGGAGCUCUGUCCUUAGUACGAGAGGACCGGGAUGGACGCACCGCUGGUGCACCAGUUGUCACGCCAGUGGCACAGCUGGGCAGCUAAGUGCGGAUCGGAUAAACGCUGAAAGCAUCUAAGCGUGAAGCCGGCUCCAAGAUAAGAUAUCCCAUUCCGUAAGGAAGUAAGACCCCUUGAAGACUACAAGGUUGAUAGGCUGCGUGUGUAAGCGCCGCGAGGCGUUCAGCUUGGCAGUACUAAUAGGUCGAGGGCUUGACCU